rnacentral:rRNA from 1 species
UACGGAGGGUGCAAGCGUUAAUCGGAAUUACUGGGCGUAAAGCGUGCGUAGGCGGUUCGUUAAGUCUGUUGUGAAAGCCCCGGGCUCAACCUGGGAAUGGCAAUGGAUACUGGCGAGCUAGAGUGUGUCAGAGGAUGGUGGAAUUCCCGGUGUAGCGGUGAAAUGCGUAGAGAUCGGGAGGAACAUCAGUGGCGAAGGCGGCCAUCUGGGACAACACUGACGCUGAGGC